AAUUAUAGAAAGGAAAUAAACAAUUGAAGGCAAGCCCGAAACAAAACGAUUGUAAAAUUUUAAUUAUUAUUAUUCAAUAAUAAAAAAAACAAAUACCAAAAGAACGAUUUGACACAAAUACCAAAGCAGAACAAAACAAAUAACAAAACACAAAGAGUGAGAAGCGAUUUUAUUUCAUAUCCAACGAGCAAGUUAUUUCGUUGCUUCUGGGACUGUUACUGGGGACGGACGCGGAUCCAUGCACCCUGCGGCGGCCUCUGCAGACAAGCAAGGUAAAUCGGCGCUAGCGCUAGGCUACUACUAUAUAUUGUCUAAGUACCAUCACCUAGUUGCCCAUAGCAACAGCCAGGGGCAGUGUAAAAUACAUAAUAUACUACAUACAAGUACAACUCUAUACAUAAAGCAGGUCGUUCCAAUAUUGUAAAUACUCUUUAGCCGACUAACAAUCAUGCCACACACUCAUCACAUCACGCUGCCAUACUUCAUUGCCACAUCUAAGGCCUAUUUGAAGGCUGCUGAAGUGAAGGCCACGCCCAUCCGAGCGACUAAGUUGAACGAAAAAUGUGCGAGGGCGGUUCAGAACUCCAAUUCAAAUGCAACCCUGUCUCCAUGCAUCCAAUCAGCGACACUUAACAUCGAUAGGUGGAGAUAGCAUCACUGUUCGGAACGUAGCAGAUAUGCAUCUCAGACAAUCAAAGGGUUAAUAGUGGGAUCAGUGAAGGAACCGCCUCACUGUUCUGCUUUAAUAGUAGGAUCAGUAACUGAUCUUAGUCAAAGAAUUGCACAGCAAUUAGCUUAAAAUCGUCCACCAAUGUUAAAUACUUAUACCAAGUACAUAUAUAUGCCGCUUUAAUAGUGGGAUCAGUAACUGAUGAAACGGAUCUCAGUCAAAGAGUUGCAAAGCAAUAAGCUUUAAGUCGUCAAGCAAUGUUAAUACUUAUACCCAGUAUUUAUACAUGUUCGUGAAGGAACCACCUCACUGUUCGGCCUUAGUGCUGGGAUCAGUAACUGAUUCAACAGAUCUCAGUCAAAGAGUUGCAAAGCAAUAAGCUUUAAAUCGUCAAGCAAUGUUAAUACUUAUACCCAGUAUUUAUAUAUAUUCGGCUUUAAUUCUGGGAUCAGUAACUGAUGCAACAGAUCUCAGUGAACGAGUUGCAAAGCAAUUAGUUUAAAAUCGUCAAGCAAGUUGAUACUUAUACCAAGUAUGUAUACAUAUGUAAUUGGAGGAACCGCCUCACUUUAAUGCUGGGAUCAGUAACUGAUUCAACAGAUCUCAGUCAAAGAGUUGCACAGCAAUUAGCUUAAAAUCGUCAACCAAUGUGUUAAUAACGUACGUGGAGGAACCGCCUUCGUUCUCAUUUGCCUUCAACCAAUCAACCAAUCAACCAAGUUGCUUCACUACAGCAGACCCACUUGCCAUUUAUGUAGAAGAUCGUGUAUUAAAGCGAACCUAGUGUACUCCAUUAAGUCAGUUAAGUAACUAACCAUAGCGAUAACUCGAGUAUAAGUCGCAGCCAACAACAAACAACAAUCAAAGAAUAACAGGAAGCAGAAGAAGAAGAAGAAGAAGAAACACAAUGCUCGUAUUUAUAUUCAAAGUGGUAAAAAUUUCACAUCGCGUCAGAGAUUCUGACAUUUGCAUUCAAAGCAGAAAACAGAAAUUUUACGCAAAAAUUCUGAUGCCUCGCGCAGUUUGUCAACAACCAGCUAACGUGUACGUAAUAUCCCCAGACUCUUCCCCACAACGAUCUCUCUCUCUCUCUCUAACGACAGCAAACUAAACUGAAUUUGAUUGUAACGCCAAAUAAAUAAUAAUAAAUGAAAUAGCAUUUGAUCAGCCAAGAAAAGAGCAAGAAAAGAAAAUCACCAUUGACUUUAAAAGUGGACUCUGCGUGUAUGUAUGCAAGUAUCUUUAUCUUUACUUGGUUAUUUAUAGUCUUAACUGUCCAUCGAUUACUAGAAAUUGUUGACAAUCUCCACUGAAUCCGAAGCUCUUCCCUCUCUCACCCACUACUUACUUCUUACUACUUUAUAAACGUACUCGUAUUUCACAAAUUUCGGCAUGAUUUCUCUCUUUUCUCCUACUACUACUACUUUCGGUUCCACUCUCAAAAUUAUAGACUCAUAGCUAGAUACUCCACUAGAUCAGCAAACUAUUCAUUACUCUGCACUCUGCAUUGCAAUUUUAAUUCCCAUUUAAUCUGCAUGCCAAAACCGACACAUUAUUAUUACAUAAUUAUUCAGUAAUUAGUAUAGAGAGUAGCGAUCCAUUGCAAUAGUUCACUAAUUAUACAUAUAAAUAUAUAUAUUUUCUCAACGUCUGACGUCUGUCUCCCCUGCGAGUUCAAAAAAUCGGACCAAUGGCAGCCCAUGACUGAUUACGUUUGAAGUGGACCUAAAAAAGGAACCAAGCCUGAUGGAAACAACCUCCUUCACUGCUUAGCUCUAACUAUAUUGUAGAAAGUGUUCAGUUCUUCCAAAAAUAGUAGACAAUACGAUAUAUUUGUGACUAAUUUAUGAAGUAAUCGAAUCAGAUGCUUUACUUUGUUUAUUAUCUGAAAAUAAAUAUUAUAACGUCUAAAUGAAA